GUCAACAUCCUCCUCAGCAGGACAUUCGAGGCAGCCUGAGGUCUUUCCCAGGAUUAAAAAAAAAAUGUGGGUCCAAAAGACGUCUACCCAGCUGUAAUAAACCCACAAAGUUCUGUAGAUCUUGGAAACCAUUGAUGUUUUCAGUGUUCCUGUUAAGUAAAAAUUCUGAAAUGACCCCUUCACCAGCUGAGGAACUUCAACUCAUGCAGGCAGGAUUGGGAAAAUGAAAUCUCUCAAUGAAUGAUGAUUUGACUCAGAGGUUUCCAACUUAUUUACAGAUGCGUACCCCAAAAUGAAAUCAG